GCGCCUUUAGCUCAAUUGGAUAGAGCAUCUGACUACGGAUCAGAAGGUUGGAGGUUCAAAUCCUCCAAGGCGCGCCA
rnacentral:tRNA from 1 species